CAUAGGAAUAACGCUAUUUAAAUUAGCAAAGAUCGGGAUGUUCCCCACCCCCCAAACUGCUUAGAAACCCUCCAAUCCACCAGCAGGAAUUCACAUCGGUCUGAUUCACAACUGGACCAACAUGGCAAGACAGCACUUACCUGAGAAACUGUGGCCUGGAAGACUACACGACCCCAGGUACCAUGCCCCAGAGAGGGCAUUAGCGACCAUGGACUUCCAUUGAAUUGGUCCAUGAUUGUGCUUGGCAAAGUACUGCAGCGGUUUGCCAUAACCUUCUGCAUAUGGCUGAACAGGAUACUCUGCUGCUGAUAAUCAAUCUGCUUAGCCAUAUUAUGCACACAUCUUCCACGGACAUCAAGUGCUGAAGUGGGACUUCAAUCUAGACCCAGAGGCAGGGAUGCUACCAUUGUGCCACAAGACUGCUUGUCCUGACAGUGGCUCUUCUAAUAAAUUUUAGCAUGAUUGCAGAAGCAUAAAUGUAAUUCUUUGCAGAGACUAUUUUCCUUUCAUACUUAAGUUGUCUUUUUCACCAUCUCUUGCAAAUAUAAACCCACUUUGAAUUUCACAUCAGACAGGCUGAUAUUCCAUUUUCAACUGAAGAACAUUAGCAGAACCAUGAGAGUAAAUACAGCAGUUAGAUUGCUCCAUAGAUAAGUAAUUUUUAUGUACAAUAUAUUGUAACAGCAUUUAGAAGUGAAAAACACCAGUAUACAGUACUAAGAAUGUAUUACUGCUGAGACUAAGUGCUAUGUGGAUUGUUCUGGGCUACUGCCAAAAAGAAAAUGCAUUUCUCUGUGCUCACUUUGUCAGAACCACCAUCAUGCUAUCUCACAAGGUGCUUUGUGCUUUUUAUUGCUGCUGUGUUAUAAAUGUACCCUAAUUGCUGUAAGGGCACAAGUAGGUUAAACAAGACUUUUCUUCCAAUUAGCUGAGAAUUAGUAUGGGUACUCACUGUCAGACAACCGAAGACUGUUCUUUAGUGAUGUGCAUCACAACUUCAAGUUUAAUGGUGAAUUGGUGGAGGCAGAGAAACAUUUACUAAUUAAGACAAAAUAUGCAAAAUAAAGAGUAAAAUCUAAAAUAUAUAUAAAAGAUUAGCUGAAAUACAAUAUCCAUAAUGUUUUAAUAUUUUGUAACUUAUGUAAAUUUCACAAUGAUAUUAUAAUAAAGCUACCAAAAUUCUGCAGUAGUAAUGUUAA